GCAACAACCAUAUUGAUGCUUUCAUCACAAUAGUAUAUCUUCAUUGAAUAACACAAUACUUCCCUCUCAAAAUACUUAGGCUAAUUGCAUAUGAGCAUGUUGAAGAUAAGGAUUAAUACACUGAAUGGUUAAUUAACAAAUGUUAAGUCCCAAAAUAAACCAAAUUAGAUGCUUUUUAAAAAUUUUCAAGGGCAAAUAACAAAUUAUAGCCAAUUUUGUGAAUAAAAUUCCCCUCAACAAAAUGCUAUAUUUUGAAUUUAUUUUCCCAGAAGAAUAGUGACAGCUCCAUCACUUAAGCUAUUUAGUACUAUUUGGAUAUUUUUCUACUUGAAGGAACAAAUUUUGUCUUCAGGGAAGAGUGGCUCAGAGGAAAGGCAAUGAAUAAGAAGAGAGUAAGUUCUUGGCCCUAAGUACCACCUAUAAUGCGGAAGAAAUUAAGGACAUACAAAUAAAGAAUAAAAGAAAAAACUUAUCAGGAGAUAUGUGACACGUGCAAAUGGAUGGAAAUAGAAAGACAAGGUGCUUCAUGGAAUCACAAUGCCACAAAGAUUUCUAAAAGUGCAAGCGUUACAUAACAUUAAGGUUGCUAUGGAAAUUGGGUGAAUUAAAGUCCUUUUAGAGGAAU